ACGGUUAUAAAUCAACAUAUUGAUUUAUAAGCAUGGAAAUCCCCUGAGUGAAACAACGAAUUGCUGUGUGUAGUCUUUGCCCAUCUCCC
rnacentral:other from 1 species